rnacentral:siRNA from 1 species
GCAAUCCGUGAUGGGCCAACCUGC